rnacentral:rRNA from 1 species
CGCGGCCUAUCAGCUUGUUGGUGAGGUAACGGCUCACCAAGGCGACGACGGGUAGCCGGCCUGAGAGGGCGACCGGCCACACUGGGACUGAGACACGGCCCAGACUCCUACGGGAGGCAGCAGUGGGGAAUAUUGCACAAUGGGCGAAAGCCUGAUGCAGCGACGCCGCGUGAGGGAUGACGGCCUUCGGGUUGUAAACCUCUUUCAGUAGGGAAGAAGCGAAAGUGACGGUACCUACAGAAGAAGCACCGGCUAACUACGUGCCAGCAGCCGCGGUAAUACGUAGGGUGCGAGCGUUGUCCGGAAUUAUUGGGCGUAAAGAGCUUGUAGGCGGUUUGUCGCGUCUGCUGUGAAAAUCCGGGGCUCAACCCCGGACUUGCAGUGGGUACGGGCAGACUAGAGUGUGGUAGGGGAGACUGGAAUUCCUGGUGUAGCGGUGAAAUGCGCAGAUAUCAGGAGGAACACCGAUGGCGAAGGCAGGUCUCUGGGCCACUACUGACGCUGAGAAGCGAAAGCGUGGGGAGCGAACAGGAUUAGAUACCCUGGUAGUCCACGCCGUAAACGUUGGGCGCUAGGUGUGGGACUCAUUCCACGAGUUCCGUGCCGCAGCUAACGCAUUAAGCGCCCCGCCUGGGGAGUACGG